rnacentral:rRNA from 1 species
UAUUGCUCAAGCCAUGGAGGAACUCUGAUGCAGCAACGCCGCGUGAGGGAAGAAGGUUUUCGGAUUGUAAACCUCUGUCCUUGGUGACGAAAAAAAUGACGGUAGCCAAGGAGGAAGCUCCGAGCUAACUACGUGCCAGCAGCCGCGGUAAUACGUAGGGAGCAAGCGUUGUCCGGAUUUACUGGGUGUAAAGGGUGCGUAGGCGGCUCUGCAAGUCAGGCGUGAAAUAGAUGGGCUUAACCCAUAGACUGCGUUUGAAACUGUGGAGCUUGAGUGAAGUAGAGGUAGGCGGAAUUCCCGGUGUAGCGGUGAAAUGCGUAGAGAUCGGGAGGAACACCAGUGGCGAAGGCGGCCUACUGGGCUUUAACUGACGCUGAAGCACGAAAGCAUGGGUAGCAAACAGGAUUAGAUACCCUGGUAGUCCAUGCCGUAAACGAUGAUUACUAGGGGUGGGGGGUCUGACCCCUUCCGUGCCGGAGUUAACACAAUAAGUAAUCCACCUGGGGAGUACGGCCGC